CACCCUUGCACAUAGGGCAGACUGCAUGAUGCCCGAUUGCCAGGUCAAGAGAGUAGCACAGUUUAUUUUCAUGCAUUUCUCGGCAUUCUCAUGACUGUGGGUGCCAUUCAGUCUUCGAUAGCAUUACUGCACUGCUCAGACCCUGGCAAAAGCUAUCUCAAGAAAUAAAGUAGGUUUAAUAUGGAAGAAAUAAUGGUUCAGGAUUGUUAGGUUAAUGUGAAGCUGCCUUGCUAUCGCUCGGGUGAGAAUGCAUCCUCCAGGCAUCUAGAGAUGUCACUAUUUAUGCUUACUGCUGUUCACCGUUUACCUUUCAAUAUCUUUGUGCUGGUUUGUGUUUUUUUUUUUUAUUUGAAACGCGUAGCACCUUCAAGGUUUCCCGUUUAACUUGGUGGCUGGCCCUUGACAGUAAUUAUUUGUUUUGGCUGUGGGGCUUGAGAACCCCAUGACACUUAUUCUUUAGAGUACCGUUUGUUUACCUUCAAUAAACUUGAGUUGGUACUCAGUGCCAUAGGGUCCCAUUGGACCACGAACAUCCUCUGGACAUCCCGAUUAGAUCCGAACGUCCAAGUCCCGCUCAGGACGUCCAGAGGGUACCAUGUGGACAUUAAAUUCGGGAUGUCCUAUUUAAGACAUCCUUCAGACAUCCACACGAUUGAACUUCUGGGAUCUAAACAAAAUCCCAAAACUUUUCUCCUAUGGAUGUCCGAAGGAUGUUUUCAACGGGAUGUCCCAUACCGGCCAUAUGUGGGACCAACACACACAGUCCUACACGUACUACGUGAUCAUAUCGCGGCAUAUUAAAUCUCUACCACGGCUGCCUUCAGCGCACGCUCCUCCGUAAAGACAUGUCUGCCAGCAAUGUGAAGUUGCUGCACUCAUAAUCAAACUUCCAAUGCAGACGAUAAACGGAGAAGUUGAAAUGAACGACCGAAACUGCACAAGCAUAUUGGGAGGAAACGUCACAAAGAGACAGGCAGAACGCCGGAACAACUGCGCAUUACCACCUAUGCAAGGCGUAACCGAAUCAAUCGUGCUCUAUGCUCCUACCAUCUCCUGCGCUCUCCGAACAUGUCGAGAAAGAAGAGUACGGCAACCUCUACAACACCUGCAACCCCUGCCGUUGUACAGAGCAGUGACUGCCUUUACCCAGUCGAAUCACCACUGGCUGUUGCAUUCACACGCACGCUUUGUGCUGAUUUGCGCGUAGUCAGUCACAUGAUGUAACGACGCCGUCUUAUGGAUCUCUUCGCCCUUCUGCGUAAGCUCGGAAUGCCAACGCCUGAAGGUUGCUGGGUUGGUGUGCUCUGCACUCUCACAAGCUCAGUUCGCGCGUUUUCUCUGGACGUGGUGGUUGAAUCGUUGUGCCAUGUGCUCAUGAGUUACAGGUUACAGGGUGAGUGUUGGUCAGCUCCAGGCGAACGUUUUUGUCAUGCGCUUUGGAGCUCCAUUUCUGCGGCACCUGUACGUCUUACGCCUAUCAAGAGUCAUGCUGUGUUCCUGCCAUCAGCCUGGUGUCACUUUGGGUUGACAUCCUUCUUUGUUGAGGAUCAGCACAGAAACAAGCCCGCGGAAAUCUGCUUUCUUAGUACCUCUGAUCUCAACAGUGUAUUUCGUGUCUGCGACCACUGGAACCGAUCCUUCAGGAUGACUAGUAAAUUGUGUAGCGUACCCGUGACCUCUUCUGUUCUGCAUCUGAAACUAUGGACGAAAGGCUUCACCCAGCGUGUGGCGACUUCCUUAUGGGCCGAUGUACCUGUGAACUCUGUUAAUUUUGGUCUCUGGGACUGGUCAAGCAAGUCCACAGAAAUGCCCCACUAAAUUUUGUAGUACACGUGAACUGCAAUUGUAGUCGUCUUCGACCGCUGAGCCAGCCUGCAGUGAGCCUUAAUGAAAUGUUUAGUCGCCAAGAUACCUGUGAUAUUUUCAGAAGUAUUUGUAACUGCUGCCAUUGAAGAACAGUCAUGCUCUGCCUCUGGUAACUUACAUCGAGGCUGUCUGAUUCCCGUGAAUUUUUAGGAUGAAAUUGUGUUUAUGUGUGGCUGCUGAAGCAAGCCCACACAAAUCCUCUAUUAGCUUUUCAUAUGGGUGAACUCAUAUAAUGCAUUUUUCUGUCUAUGACUGCUGAAGCGAGCAUGCUGCAAGCUUUUAGUUAAUUGUGUAGUCGCCAAGGUACCUGUGACGGUUCAGCAAUAUUUGGCUGUGACCACGGAAAGGUCGCAUUCUGCUUCUGUUGACUUGCUUAGAGGCCUUCAAGCCUAUGAACACUUAUGAUGAAUUUGUGUUUGUGACCACUCAAGUGCAGCGAGUGUCUUGUAACUCUAGUACUUGUGACAUCAGUUUGGUAUUGUGUUGAAGCAAGUGUCUUGUAACUGCCUUUGUAUCUAAACUCUCCAGUAAUGUUCGUGUUUGCAACUACUUAAGUGAUCCUUUAGUAAUUUUUUUAUGCCCAUUGUGUCUAUAAAAUAUUUAGUACUUUUACUGUGUGCAAACGCUGAAGGAGGCCUGCAGAAAGUGGAGUAGCUUCCGUCAUGGCUAAGACACCUCUGAACUUUCCAGCAAAUAUUGCAUUUAUGUGCCCGCGACCGUUGAAGUGAGCCAGCCCACAGUAGCCCUCCUACUAACUUCCUUUGUACCCCCCUACCCCCCCCCCCCCACCCUUGCAUAGGGCUUUUAAUGUUCUUUUACUGGCCGAGGUGCAUCUGCGUAUUAUUAGCUCAACUAAAAUGGUCUUAUCACUGCACACGAAAGUGUCGAUGUUUGCUCUGGUGACCUUUGCCAGAAUUUGUUAUGGAUGCACAGUGCAUUUGCUCUACACUCUAAGAACAGUUGCACCCUUUGGGGUGCAAUUUUGCCACAGAACGAUAAUUGUCAUCUGUCUUGCUUGUGUUUCUUUUCUUGAAAACCCUGCGCUCGUUACUUUCCUGUCGAGAAUGCUCUGUCAUGCUGAUAAUGCGCAUGCCAUUCGUGACAUGGAAGUACCAGGCUUGCAGCGUUAAAGAAAGGAAAUGUGGGCAAGACGGAUGACAAUUAUUGUUCUGUGGCAAAUAUACACCCCAAAGGGUGCAACUAUUUUUAGAGUGUAAAUGGAUGAUUAUACAGCAGCUGUUUGUCUAUAUAUGACCACUGAACUAGCCUCGAGUAAUUUUGUUAAUGCCUAAUGUAGUUGUGACAUCUUAAUUUAGCAUAACUCGUGUUCGUGUAUGUAACUACUGAAUAUGGCCUAGGGAAAGGCUGUGGCAACUUAAAGUGGCUAACAUAUCUAAACUUUUCAGCAAAUUUUGCAUUGAUGUGCCUGCUACCACAGAAGUGAGCCCACUGCAAGCCUCGUGAUAAGUUCCAUAGUGGGCCCACUGCGAAUUCUGAAAUUUUCUUGCUACCCAAAGUGCAUUUGUAAAGAGUUUGAUUAAUGUACACUUUUACUAACCAUGGUGCGGUAUAAAUAACUCCAAUAAAAUAUCGACUUUUAUUUGUUUGCAUUCCUGGGUUUUACUGAAAACUGCCGAGUGCAUUUUAGAGUUCAACGAGUGAUCUUCCUGCAACUGUUUUAUUGAAAUAAAUGCUGUAUUUUUGAUGAGA